GUGGGGAAUAUUGCACAAUGGGCGAAAGCCUGAUGCAGCAACGCCGCGUGAAGGAUGAAGGCCUAUGGGUUGUAAACUUCUUUUCUCAGAAAAGAAUUAUGACGGUAUCUGAGGAAUAAGCAUCGGCUAACUCUGUGCCAGCAGCCGCGGUAAGACAGAGGAUGCAAGCGUUAUCCGGAAUGAUUGGGCGUAAAGCGUCUGUAGGUUGUUUAAAAAGUAUUCUGUCAAAGAUUAGGGCUUAACCCUAGAUAGGCAGAAUAAACUUUUAAGCUAGAGUUUGGUAGAGGCAGAGGGAAUUCCCGGUGGAGCGGUGAAAUGCGUAGAUAUCGGGAGGAACACCAAAGGCGAAGGCACUCUGCUGGGCCAAUACUAACACUGAGAGACGAAAGCGAGGGGAGCAAAUGGGAUUAGAUACCCGGGUAGUCC
rnacentral:rRNA from 1 species